GUGUCAGGCGGAGGCGGAGAGGUGAGGCUCGAUACUGGAGCCGGAGACGACAUCCCCGGUGAUGUUUCUGGUGAGUGGUUCUUUGUAGUUAAAGCGAGUGUGUGAGCAUGUGCGUGUGUGAGAGAGAGAGAGAGAGAACAGCCUAAGAUUUUCUUUCUCUUGUGAACAAGGGUUGCUGAACAAGCGAAGAAGAAGAGCUGAGUGGUGGAUCCCACUGAAUUAUAGACUGCACUGUGGCAACGGCGUCGUUUUGUGAAUUUUUUUCCCCAGACAAGAACUUCGCUCGCUAAUUACUUGUCUGUGCUGCGUAUAUUUCUU